UCUCUUGGUUGGGGUAAAACUCGGGGCUCCUGAAACAGUAAAAAUACUUUUAGGAAAAAGUGACCUGAGUAAAUAGAGUUCACCCCAGGUAGUGUAUCCGGGGUCACGCUAUUUGGACGUUUGAUGACGUCACCAGGCCUCCCCCCCCCCCCCCCGCGCUGGCUGUGAGCACCAGGAGCUCAGCAGCCGUCUGCGGGGAGGUCUCAGGUGCUUAGGACAACGUCUCAGAGAAAAAACUGCAGGAGGAAAAGGGAAGCUUGCAGCAGCUGCAGCAGCUGCAGCAGCAGCAGCAUCCGAGCGCCUACCGUGCCCCGGGCGCUGAGCCGCGGCCAGCCGGGAUUCCCCGCAUCCUUGCACAGCGCAGGGGGUAGCGGGCAGCCCCGUGGCCCAGCGGUUUAGUGCUGCCUUCAGCCCAGGGUGUGAUCCUGGAGACCCGGGAUGGAGUCCCGCAUUGGGCUCCCUGCAUGGAGCCUGCUUCUCCCUCUGCCUGUGUCUCUGCCUCUCUCUCCCUCUGUGUCUCUCAUGAAUAAAAAAAAAUCUUUAAAAAAAUAAAUAAAUAAAAACAGGUAGCUCCAA